GCAUUAGCUCAUUCGGCGCAGCCGCCGACGGGGAUGCUCUCGUUGGUACCGUGCCCUUGCUGCAAAAUCUGGUCAACCAUCUGCCUAGUUUCUAAGUCGGAAGCAAAUCCCGGAAGGGUUUUCUACAAAUGCCCCAAUCAUCGUGUAAGAUUCUUGUUUAUCCUUUGUUGGACCAAAUCCUUGCCAACAUACAUGGAUUUCUUUGUCAGUAAUGGGCACACUACCCCUACAAUUGGUAGUGCAUAUUCAACUAUUGUGAAUGCUAACGAAGAAACCAAUGGGAAAGAAGAGUGUGGAGUAAUGAAUCAUAACAACACUGGUUGUGUGAUGAUGGCAGAUGUAUUGAAGAAGAUGGAAGAGCUGGUAUUUCUCUGUAGGAUUAUUUUCAUUGCACUUGUGAUCGGGAUUGCAAUCAUGGUGUUUGUAGUU
rnacentral:rRNA from 1 species